rnacentral:tRNA from 1 species
GAUUUCACUCAGUGGUAGAGCAUGUGCUUAGCAUGUGCAAGGCCCUGGGUUCAAUUCCCAGCAUCA